GCACUCACUUUGGCAGCACAUAUACUAAAAUUGGAACGAUACAGAGAAGAUUAGCAUGGCCCCUGCUCAAGGAUGACACACAAAUUCGUGAAGCGUUCCAUACUUAA
rnacentral:snRNA from 1 species